GUCACCUCCACGGGCCCGCUGCCCCAGGCAGCCGCUGCAAACCCCCCGCAACCACUCGGGCAGGGGGAGCCCCGGCCCGCCAGAGGCCUAGCGCAGGGGCGCAAGCCGGACACGGGGGGGGGCUGAGCCGCCUCUGCGCGCGUUGCACGAAGGCUGAAGCCGAGCGGCACCCGGGGGCCCAGACCGCGGCUUUCCCCGAGCCCAGCCCCUUUGUAACACAGGAGUCCCCCGGGAGCCCUGCACCGGGAGCCCGCUGGCUGGUUCCCAGCCCUAAGAACAGGCGGGACAAGGGCAGCAGCACAACGCCCGGGGGACUCAGCUCUGGUCACUUAAACCUCCGAGCACCUGAUAAAUGGAUCUGGCCCUGGGGUGAAAGCAGGGACUGAAGACGUGCACGAGCAGGCUUCAGCUAGCACCAAUCAGGCUUUGUAUUAGCAUGAAGCCUCCCUGGGAAGUGUUUAUCUCGGCUUCAUUUCUAUUAUAACUUAGUCUUGCAAAACUCGGUUCUAGAUGGCUGGGAGGUGUUUACAUGAAUAAAAUAUCAUGGGGUUUUAUGCUGCUAAAGGGAUUCUAGUCUGGGGCUGGUAGAUUUUCAUUCCACUUUUAUAAAGCUAGUACAGAUGGUGUAUACAGACAGUCCUUGACUUUACAACCUUUGAUUUACAAAGAACAGCACUUAGGUGGUUUCUGAAUUGAUACACAGAUUAAAUUUAUGACAGUUGGUUUCAAUUUUAUGAUGCUCAGGCCUACAAGGGCCUGUAUUGCAAUUCCGAGUUAUGACAUUUCCACUUACAACACAAUUUUCAGGAACCCCUGGUCACAGGGCCAAGGACUGCCUCUACUUAUAACAUCUUCAGGCCAAAGUGCUUUGAGACCUCUGGUUGUAACAGCUGCUGUUAUAUAAUAAAUGGUAAACAGCAGGUGCAUCUCAUUCUAACAUGACCAGUAAGUCUGCAGCAAAUACGUGUCUUUCCUUCUGUCUGGUUUCAUAGAUACCAAAGCCAGAAGGACCUAUUGUAAUCAUCCAGUCUGAAAUCCUGCAUAACACAAACCAUAGCACUUCUCCAAAAUAAUUCCUAGAGCAUGUGUUUCUCUAAAACAUCCCAGCUUCAUUCUAAGAUUGCAGUUACAGAGAAUCCACCAUGUUCCAAUGGUUAAUUACUAGCAUUGUCAAAAGAUGUAUGCCUUAGGUCAAGCCUAAAUUUGUCUAGUUUCAACUUCCAGCCAGGGGUUGUGUUAUAACUUUUUUCAAACAGCCUCUACCCCGCAUUCCUUAUCCAUGAACUCAUAAUUUAUCUUUUUCUUCUUGUAAAAAUAUACUCUCAACUCCUCAAAACAGCACUGAUCAUUUGAGGAAGAAAAUUUUCAAACAAGUUUAUUUAAAAGUUAGUCAAAUUCAUCACUGAGGGCACUGCAAUGAAGUUAGGGUUGAAUUUGGCCUGGUAUGUUAUUAUUUUCCUUCUUAAAAAAAUGCACAUUAAAAAAUGAGACAGAAGUGAUUAAAAAAGCAUUUCAGUCAUCUUUAAACCUAGUAAAAAACAGGAAGCCUUAUUUUAACACUACAAAUUAAACACUAGCAAAAAAAUCUUCAAAUUUCAAAUCCUCUUUUAGUCAUGUGCAUUAACAGUCUUUUCCAUCUUGCAUAAUCUCUUACAGUUACAGCUCCAGCUCCUCCUCCUGCCAAUUGCUUUAGUUAUAAUCAUGCCACUUGUCUGUCAGAUUUUUUUUAAAAGUCACUAAGGGAGAAGAAGUGGGCCCAACAAACUUACAUAAAACAUCAGGAGACAUUAAUCCAAGCACCAUAUUCACAGCAGUGAAUUAAUUUUGUCUGAGACAGUUUCCCUCUCCUUUGUGCCAGUUGACUUAUGCAGCUUCAAAUCUCUUCUGAGAACUCACAUUUUGCUUUUGUUUCCACCAUUUAUCUCAGCUCUGACUCUGACCCAUUACAAAAAAAAGUGAAACAGCAUGAGAUUGUUUAUGGAAUCUAUUUUCUAUGUAAAUGCUUCACUUACCCAACAGAUGUAUUUCCUUCCCAUUGUUUACUGUUUCUCCUCCACCAUGUCCCUAUCCUUGUACUCACCAUACUCUAGUGCUAUCAUUUAUGGCAUUUACAUUGCAGGGACCUUUUCUUAUAUUACAAAUCAUUUAUACAAUAAUGUUGUGAAUGUACGCAGUAUUUUACAAAGCUAGAUAAGCUACCCCAAAGAGCUUACACUAUAAAUGAGUUCAAUAGGGAAAAAGUUGGAUUUCUGAAUGAGACGUAAAGGAGGAUUACUUGAAGAGGAGAAUGAGAGCAGAUGAGGAUAGGGAAAGCUCUCCAGAGACAGGGGGCAAGUAUGAUAGAAGGCACCCAGCUAAGAGUGGAGAAAAAGAGCAAAAAGACCAAGGCUUUUAGGUGAAAAGAAAUUUGAACAUGAUGCAGUAAGAGACAAAACCAAUAGAGGAAUUCAAGAAGAAAAGUGAUAUGGUUGGAGAGGAAAAGCAGAAGACUACAUUAGGUACAGAAUUUUGAACCAAUUGAAAAGCAGAAGGAUGUGAAAAGCAGGGAGGCCAGAGAGUAGGUUAUAGUGAUCAAAGAAUGAUGAAUGGCAUAUGGACAAAGUCUUUUAGUGGACAAAGGGUGGAUUAAAGAGAAAGUGACAACUUUGUGAAAUAUUCACUACAUGGUUAGAAGAGAGUCACAUAACAUGAAGCACAGAGUGGUAUUCUCUGUGGAAAGGAAGAGGAAUGAGAGGAAAGAGAGACAUUCCAUUUUGGAAAGACCGAGCUGGCAGUCGGAGAGACAACUAAAAAAAAGACUGGAUAGUCAGGGAAAGGUGAAGAAAGUAUGAGAAGUCAGCUGCAUAAAAGUCGCAGUGUCUUAAUUUUGUUCACUACAAGGCAUAUUAAUAGUACCAAGCUGAUCAUGGUACCAUUGCUGAUCUGAUUCUUUACUAACAGUUUCAUUAUAUUUUAUUAUUUUUAUUACGGUAGUGCUUGGGAGCCCUCGUCAUGGACCAGGACCGCAUUGUACUAGGCACUGUACAAAUAAAAGACAAAAAGGCAGUCCUUGUCCCAGAAAGCUUACAAUCUAAGCAUAAGACAAGAGACAAAAGAUAGAUAUAGACUGGCAAGGAGUACAAGAAAACAAAUCUACUCUUAAUAUUCAUCAGAGAAUAUGCAACAGUCUAGGGACACCUAGGCCAUCAGCAAGUGCAUACUGUAUACAGAAAAAAGAACCACAUCACCUGCAGCUCCAAAAAAAUCACAGGUUUCUACCCCCUGAACUAAAGAGGAAUCUCUCUCAGCAAUAGUAGAGCUUAUGUUUUCAGGUCAGCUUAUAGAAAGCAGUAUGAUUACAAACUGAAAUAUCUGACCAGGUCAUUCCAGCACGGGACAAACAAGCUAGUAUAUUACAUUCUGUUUACACACAAAAAUGAAGCUUCUCAAAACACACAGUUCUUUUAUGAAUCUAUUUUUGAUAGGCUUGUUUUAUCUGUGUUGCUUAUCAGUGAUUUGGCCUUCUGAUAGCCUUCCAUCUGACAGAAUAUGAAAUAGAACCAAUGUGUUCUUUAAUUAGAACUCGAGUGCAGCAAUAUGCUCAUGUUUUAAUUCUACAUUUAAACAGUUUCUGACAUUUUCUUAGUAUCUUACCUUUUAUAUCAGUCUUGUAUAAAUAGUGCAGGCAUGAUAUUAUGCCUCAAUAAUGUUAACAGUCAAUAAGUUAGCUUUUGAUUUAAAAUGCCAUACCUUCUUCUUAUUUUAAAAUGUCACUAAAAGUCUUUUGCACAAAAAAUAUAUUCUAAUUUUAAAAUAGCUACAAAAAUUCUGUAUAUUUGUAUACAAGUUCAUAUGGCCAUUGUUCAUAACACACUCAAACACUUCAAAACAUUUCUUAUUCCAAUUUUGUUCUUUCCUGUUUGUCCAAUAUUGAUAUUGUUCUGCUUCCACAUUUCUUACAGAGCACAACAGAGCACAGGUCUUGUUUUAUUUCUUUGUUCUUGCAUUAUCAUCAAUGAUGUAUGCACAGGUCUGAUACACAAAUACAGGAGUGACGAUAUUAGAACAGAAACUACAGCUCAGCCAAGAUUUGCAGAAGUGAUGGGUAUCUGUAUGUCCCCAACUUGACACUUUAGCUCAGCAGUUUCAAAAUGCAAAGCCUCUAAGCUGUUGAGUUGGGCACCGAAAAUCUGUAAUUGUUUUUGAAAAUCUUGGUCCUAGCCUGUCUCCAACAGUGACUAAUGCUGGAUUGCUUUAGAAAAAAUGUAAAUGCAAGACAGCGAGGCAUGGGGGAAUUUCUUCCUAACUUCAGUUGGUGAUCACUGUAUGGCUUGAGCCAUGAGGGCUGACAGCUCUAAGUCUAUCCUAGCUGCUCAGAGCUCAGGAUAUUUUCCGACACAAAUGUCCAAUCUCUUAAUACAAAUUUUUACUACACUAUUUAAGUCACAUUUCCUUUGGUCAGGAGCUAUAAAAUAGGAUCGUGAAGGCCAUCUCUACACAUUUUACAUCUAUCAUCUCUCCUCAGUUUUUCUUUUCCUUUCCUCUCCUGGAGAGUUCAUCUCAUACAAUCCCACUAUUACUGAAUGAAGUACCAAUAAUUUCCUACCAUCAACUUCUGUUCUACCAUUAAGUUUACUGUAUUAUUCUCUAUCCUAACAUUAAUAAUAAAUUAAUAUAUUAGCUGCAACAGCAGUACAAAAAUACUGUAGGGUCAUUCAAAAGACAGCCUAAACUUUUACUGAAAAUACACGUGACUAUGCAAGGUGAUGGACUGACAGGUUGGGGAAUUGAAGUGCAUGGCACCUAGAGAAUCUGCAAGGGCAGUGCAAGCUUCCCAGAUCUAUGUACCAGUUUCCCUCAAUCUUGAUUUGGAGGGACUAUCACUAGAGUUGAAAAGAGUUGUUGUUCCCUCAUCCAUUCAGUUCUUAGCUUCUCAGCUAAAACUGCCAACAAGAAUAGCAAUUACCAUAAUACCAGUUGUGGUAGUCUGUGUAUACUAGAAAACUGACUGACCCCAUGGAGUCAUUUCAUAUCAAUGGCUAAACAGACAAGUGGUAAAAAUACAUAACCCUCAACAAAAAAAGAGUGGAUUUAAAAAAGAUAGGUAUGUGGAAUCUACAGGAUAAUCUGCACCAUGCUAUGUUCAGUCUUCAGAUGUGGAACACUCCACUACCAGAGACCAAGCCAAACAAGAAUAAUUACUUUUAAAAUAGCAUGCAAGAGCCAUAUCCAUGCACAAGUCAUUUCUCAUUAACCACUGCGAAAGAACAGCCCAGCAACUCCUCUUACUGAGGCAACAGAUAAGGAACAACUAACUUAUUUGAGCAAUGUAACAACGGAAAGAUGACGUGUAAGCUCCUUUCAAUAGAAAAUGUGCUUAAUAAAUUAUGUAAAUAGAGGCUAGACUCUACAGAGACCAAGAAGUAGACAAAAGUGAUGAGGCCUUAGAUUUGGCAGUAUCCCUUGAAAUUUAUAUUUUUACCUUUUAAGUUAACAUUAAAUUUGACCAAUACAGUACAUGAACAUCCAAUUCAAGAUAACUUUGAUAAAGCAUCCUGAAAUCUGUUAAAACUCAUCUCCAUUUGUGAACAACUUAUUUUUCCUUUAUAGCACAUAAUAAAAUGUUAUUUUUACAGUUCGGGUGUAAGUUUAUGAUUUUGAAGUAUCAUGGUUCAGUAAAUCUGAAUCACUGCUCAA